rnacentral:rRNA from 3 species
UAUAUGACUCUCGGCAACGGAUAUCUCGGCUCUCGCAUCGAUGAAGAACGUAGCGAAAUGCGAUACUUGGUGUGAAUUGCAGAAUCCCGUGAACCAUCGAGUCUUUGAACGCAAGUUGCGCCCGAGGCCUUUCGGUUGAGGGCACGCCUGCCUGGGCGUCACGC